GUGCCAGCAGCCGCGGUAAGACGAACCGUCCAAACGUUAUUCGGAAUCACUGGGCUUAAAGGGUGCGUAGGCGGCCCGGAAAGUUGUGUGUGAAAGCCCUCGGCUCAACCGAGGAAUAGCGCGCAAAACUACCGGGCUUGAGGGAGACAGAGGUAAGCGGAACUUAGGGUGGAGCGGUGAAAUGCGUUGAUAUCCUAAGGAACACCAGGAGCGAAAGCGGCUUACUGGGUCUCUUCUGACGCUGAGGCACGAAAGCUAGGGGAGCGAACGGGAUUAGAUACCCCGGUAGUCC
rnacentral:rRNA from 1 species